GACGAACGCUGGCGGCGUGCUUAACACAUGCAAGUCGAACGGAAAGGCCCUGCUUUUGUGGGGUGCUCGAGUGGCGAACGGGUGAGUAACACGUGAGUAACCUGCCCUUGACUUUGGGAUAACUUUAGGAAACUGGGGCUAAUACCGGAUAGGAGCUCCUGCUGCAUGGUGGGGGUUGGAAAGUUUCGGCGGUUGGGGAUGGACUCGCGGCUUAUCAGCUUGUUGGUGGGGUAGUGGCUUACCAAGGCUUUGACGGGUAGCCGGCCUGAGAGGGUGACCGGCCACAUUGGGACUGAGAUACGGCCCAGACGCCUACGGGAGGCAGCAGUGGGGAAUAUUGCACAAUGGGCGGAAGCCUGAUGCAGCAACGCCGCGUGCGGGAUGACGGCCUUCGGGUUGUAAACCGCUUUCGCCUGUGACGAAGCGUGAGUGACGGUAAUGGGUAAAGAAGCACCGGCUAACUACGUG
rnacentral:rRNA from 1 species